rnacentral:rRNA from 1 species
GACGAACCGUGCGAACGUUAUUCGGAAUCACUGGGCUUAAAGCGCGUGUAGGCGGGCCGCCGCGUCGGCUGCUGAAACUCCCCCGGCUCCAACCGGGGAACGGGCACCGAUACGGGCGGCCGUGGAGGGGGGUAGGGGGGCCUGGAACGUUCCGGUGGAGCGGUGAAAUGCGUUGAAGAUCGGAAGGAACGCCCGUGGCGAAAGCGAGGCCCUGGACCCUUACUGACGCUGAGACGCGAAAGCCAGGGGAGCGAACGGG